rnacentral:rRNA from 1 species
UACAGAGGGGGCAAGCGUUGUUCGGAAUUACUGGGCGUAAAGGGCGCGUAGGCGGCCUUCUAAGUCGAACGUGAAAUCCCCGGGCUCAACCCGGGAACUGCGUCCGAUACUGGAAGGCUUGAAUCCGGGGAGAGGGAUGCGGAAUUCCAGGUGUAGCGGUGAAAAUGCGUAGAUAUCAGGAGGAACACCAGUGGCGAAGGGCGGUGUUCUGGGGCCAGUACUGACGCUGAGGCGCGAAAGCGUGGGGAGCGAACAGGG